AUACUCUGUUCCUCUUCAUAUUGUAUACAUAUUUUGCCUGUUACUGAAGAUUUAUGAUGAGGGAAAUAACUUUGAGUCUUAUGUUAAUUGUUUGAGGCCUUGCUUUGACAGCGCU
ensembl:snRNA U5 U5 spliceosomal RNA